GUGGCCAUAGCUUAGUGGUUUGAAUUCCUGCCUGUCACGCAGGAGUUCCGGGUUGGUUCCCCGCAGGUGGCA